AUACCAGAUUAAUUCGCUGAGCUGUGGUUUUGAUUCAUGGAAGGCCAUGAUUGAUGUUCACUAAGAGAUUCGCUGAUAGCGCCUUCAUCGGGGAGUUACUUUGUUAGUAACUCACCACAAAA
rfam:Zea mays cultivar B73 chromosome 1, whole genome shotgun sequence.